GUGGAGGAGUGCACGUGCAGCAUCUUUGCUGCUCUCCAUUAAUCCAGUGAAAGAGAAGGACAAGCAUGCAUUCUUACAAUGAUUAUCUGAGACGAUUAAAUGAUUGACUGCGGCAAAGGGAGUCUGUUGCACAGACUGUUUUUGCUCUUCUCGCGCGAUCUGGGUGUAUCGGAGUAAGCACGAGUUUGGGUUGUAUCCAUUCGUCGUUGUCAGCAUCACGAAGUCGUGCUGCAUAACUCCAAGCUGGAAACAGUGUGAAGAGGAAGGGUGUGUGUGGUGGAGAAUCCACAAUGAAGCACCUGCCCAUCUCUAAAUGGCUUAGGCAGCUUGGAUUACCACAGUACUGCUCACUGUUUGAUGAGGAAUAUGAUGGAGUAGAGGACCUGUUGCACUUGACAGAAUUGGACUUGUUGCAGUUGGGUGUUCACAGUCAUCUCCAUCGCAUUCACAUUCUCUCAAGCAUCCAGGUUUUGCAGGAGAGAGAGAUCA